UGCCCUUAGCCUAUGUCCCAAUAGUUAUGAAUCACCCUGUAUAAUUCUACUUAUUCGAUAUUUUCUUUACACCUGUAAAAAUCAUGUAAUUCAGUUUCUCCUUCAAUUAUUAAAAACUAAAACUAAAAUUAUCUAUAAAUAUUAGGAAUUCAUAUGUUUUAUUCAAUUCAAAUUUUCAAUCAUAAUGAAUUUUUCAAUAUUCAAGUUCUGUGGAAAUGAAUUUUGUCGAAAUAUCAUCAGACAAGGCUUGAAAGAAUCUGAAAUCGAAUCAUAAUCUUGGGGAUUGUGUUGUCGGGCUGAUCUGAGACAUACAAAUCAUUCUGCUGCUUUCAAAAUUUUUCUAGGAAAAUGUCGUAUGCAGUUGUUUGCUUUGUGGAUGAAUGCCAGGGCGAUUCAGAAGUUGUCCAAGAAGUGCCCAUUUCUUGGCUAAGAAAUAAUAAUACGAUGUGUAUGUGGCCUCCAUCAAACAUCUCGUAUCAUAUAAUAAACGGAACACCACCAUCAAGUUCAUGGAAAUUAUGUCCUAUCAGGUUUGAUCGAAUUUGUGAUAGUCUUGCAGAUGCUAGAAGGCGCUGCAUUAAGGAAUCUUCAUCAGAAGAUGAGAAAGGCAGAGGCCUAAGAAAAAAAAUUUUUCGAAGCACCUGAUAGGUCAUUAUUCUAAAUGUGCGUCUCCAACAAUGGAGGAAGCUGUUCAAUCAUCAGCAGAUUCAGAUUAUAGACUACAGGAGAUCGGGAUGCCACAACCAGGUAAAGUUUGUAACUGCAUCUGGUAUAUUUUGAAAUAGUAAAAUGGAAUGGUG